rnacentral:rRNA from 1 species
GGGGGUAGAGCACUGUUUCGGCAAGGGGGUCAUCCCGACUUACCAACCCGAUGCAAACUGCGAAUACCGGAGAAUGUUAUCACGGGAGACACACGGCGGGUGCUAACGUCCGUCGUGAAGAGGGAAACAACCCAGACCGCCAGCUAAGGUCCCAAAGUCAUGGUUAAGUGGGAAACGAUGUGGGAAGGCCCAGACAGCCAGGAUGUUGGCUUAGAAGCAGCCAUCAUUUAAAGAAAGCGUAAUAGCUCACUGGUCGAGUCGGCCUGCGCGGAAGAUGUAACGGGGCUAAACCAUGCACCGAAGCUGCGGCAGCGACGCUUAUGCGUUGUUGGGUAGGGGAGCGUUCUGUAAGCCUGUGAAGGUGUGCUGUGAGGCAUGCUGGAGGUAUCAGAAGUGCGAAUGCUGACAUAAGUAACGAUAAAGCGGGUGAAAAGCCCGCUCGCCGGAAGACCAAGGGUUCCUGUCCAACGUUAAUCGGGGCAGGGUGAGUCGACCCCUAAGGCGAGGCCGAAAGGCGUAGUCGAUGGGAAACAGGUUAAUAUUCCUGUACUUGGUGUUACUGCGAAGGGGGGACGGAGAAGGCUAUGUUGGCCGGGCGACGGUUGUCCCGGUUUAAGCGUGUAGGCUGGUUUUCCAGGCAAAUCCGGAAAAUCAAGGCUGAGGCGUGAUGACGAGGCACUACGGUGCUGAAGCAACAAAUGCCCUGCUUCCAGGAAAAGCCUCUAAGCAUCAGGUAACAUCAAAUCGUACCCCAAACCGACACAGGUGGUCAGGUAGAGAAUACCAAGGCGCUUGAGAGAACUCGGGUGAAGGAACUAGGCAAAAUGGUGCCGUAACUUCGGGAGAAGGCACGCUGAUAUGUAGGUGAAGUCCCUCGCGGAUGGAGCUGAAAUCAGUCGAAGAUACCAGCUGGCUGCAACUGUUUAUUAAAAACACAGCACUGUGCAAACACGAAAGUGGACGUAUACGGUGUGACGCCUGCCCGGUGCCGGAAGGUUAAUUGAUGGGGUCAGCGCAAGCGAAGCUCUUGAUCGAAGCCCCGGUAAACGGCGGCCGUAACUAUAACGGUCCUAAGGUAGCGAAAUUCCUUGUCGGGUAAGUUCCGACCUGCACGAAUGGCGUAAUGAUGGCCAGGCUGUCUCCACCCGAGACUCAGUGAAAUUGAACUCGCUGUGAAGAUGCAGUGUACCCGCGGCAAGACGGAAAGACCCCGUGAACCUUUACUAUAGCUUGACACUGAACAUUGAGCCUUGAUGUGUAGGAUAGGUGGGAGGCUUGGAAGUGUGGACGCCAGUCUGCAUGGAGCCGACCUUGAAAUACCACCCUUUAAUGUUUGAUGUUCUAACGUUGACCCGUAAUCCGGGUUGCGGACAGUGUCUGGUGGGUAGUUUGACUGGGGCGGUCUCCUCCUAAAGAGUAACGGAGGAGCACGAAGGUUGGCUAAUCCUGGUCGGACAUCAGGAGGUUAGUGCAAUGGCAUAAGCCAGCUUGACUGCGAGCGUGACGGCGCGAGCAGGUGCGAAAGCAGGUCAUAGUGAUCCGGUGGUUCUGAAUGGAAGGGCCAUCGCUCAACGGAUAAAAGGUACUCCGGGGAUAACAGGCUGAUACCGCCCAAGAGUUCAUAUCGACGGCGGUGUUUGGCACCUCGAUGUCGGCUCAUCACAUCCUGGGGCUGAAGUAGGUCCCAAGGGUAUGGCUGUUCGCCAUUUAAAGUGGUACGCGAGCUGGGUUUAGAACGUCGUGAGACAGUUCGGUCCCUAUCUGCCGUGGGCGCUGGAGAACUGAGGGGGGCUGCUCCUAGUACGAGAGGACCGGAGUGGACGCAUCACUGGUGUUCGGGUUGUCAUGCCAAUGGCACUGCCCGGUAGCUAAAUG